rnacentral:misc_RNA from 1 species
UGCUGCUUUCUCUUGAUAAUGAUGUCCUGGACAAGAUUUUGACAGGAAUGAGUUCCUGCGUUCAACAAGAGAGCUCUGUUCAUCUACAUCUAACCCUUGUCUACUUUCUGAGGUCAUUUGGAAAAGUCAGACUGCCAGCAUCACCAGAGCAACCUCAGAUGUUGAAAAGAUUAUCUGAUCUAUUUGUGGCAACCUUGACCUCAUCUGACCUAUUUAUCUACCACCACGGGUUGUCUGCCUUUACCAAGUUUGCAGAAGAAACCCUGCAUGAGGCCGUGGUCCCCAGUUGUAUAGAGGAUCAGCCCGGGCUUCAGGACUGUGUGGUGCAGUUUAUUAACAAGAGUCCUUACACCUGCUCAGGUGAGUUGAGUAGAUUGGAUUUUCUGAGGAUUGUGCCCCCAUGUAGAAUAGGUGUGGACAUGGACUCAGACUCUGGUGUCAGUGACCACCAAAGUGGGGUAAGGCCUUACACACACACACACACACACACACUCUCUCUCUCUCUCUCUCUCUCUCUCUCUCUCUCUCUCUCUCCCUCUCUCUCUCUUUCCUUUUUUCUCUCAUUCUCUUUCUCAUUGAUCUGACAUCUAAAAAUUUAUUCAGUCCAAUUCAAGUUUUAAAGAACAUUUCCUUACAUGUACAUAUGAUUGAUUUGUCAUGCUGUACUCUUUGAUAAUCACUAGGUAUUGUGUUUACAGCCCUGUAGUAUAUUCGAAUGUUUGGCCUGUAAUGCUUUAUUCUUAAAUGAUCAAUAAGUCUUGUGUUUACAGCCCUGUAGGACAUGCAUAUAUAUGAAUGACUUGUUAUGCUGUACCCUUUGAUAAUCAAUUGCCUUAUGUUUACAGCCCAGUAGUAAGAGACCUCGACUGAUGGAAAAUGUCAAUCAUCAUCAGGUGUCUCAACAGCUGAAGACUUCCGUAGAGGAGUUGGUGGGAGUGUUACGAGAAACUUUGUCUGACCUAGAAGGCUUCACUAAAUCUGAGGACACCGACAUGACUCCACAAACCUGGAACAACCUGGAACAUAUCCAGACGAAGAUCAUGGAUAUCAUGAAAGAGAAAGGCUGAUCUGUAGCCAUUGGUCAUGAGGAACAUCCUUCAUCUCGAUCAAGCUUACUUAUAGCAAAAAGGAGACAGGAGUAAACAAGCUUUAAAGAGGACUAUAUUUUUAGAAUGUGGAACAUCCUGGAACAUUUCAAAAUAAGAUCGUGGAUAUCAUGAGGCACAUCCUUCAUCUUGACUAAACUUACAUAUAGCAAGAAGGAGACAGGAGUAAACAAGCUUUAAAGCGGACUAUAUUUUAGAAAUGUGAAACAUCCGUGAACAUUUCCAAUUAAAGAUCGUGGAUAUCAUGAGGAAUACUCUUCAUCUCGACUAAGCUUACUUAUAGCAAGAAGGAGACAGAAAUAAACAAAGCGGACUGUAUUUUUAAAAGUUUAUGUAUGAAAGAUAGAGAAAGAAACUGGAGUAGUAUAUUUAUUUACAUGAGACCAUAUUCAGAUUUAUACUACAGUCAAUGCUUCAUGAUCAGGAAUGGACGAACAUUUCAUGUUUUAUAUUUACACAUUACUUCCUGGAAUAUAUCCUAUUAGAAUUAUAUUGAAUAAUUAAGAUGACAGAAUAUUUUUGUUGAUGUGAUUGAUAAGGUGACGGACGUUUUGUGUCAUUAUCAACGAGUCAGAUACGAUCAGUGAUAUGAAAUUCUCCUGCAUAACUUGUUAUUAGAUUUUUAUUGAUUAAAAUUUAUUUUGUUUUUGAAAUGAAGAAUAAAAAUGUUGUUUAC